AAUGGUCUAUGUUCCAAAUAAAAUGACUUUUUUUUUUGUUUCCUAAGUUAUACCUGAUUUUUGCAGUUUUAUCACAAAAAUAGUCAUUUUCUUGGUACGAGGACCAAAAUCAUUAAAAAGAGGAUCAAAAUUGCAAAAAAAAAACUCACCUCAAAAUUGCAAAAGAAAACUCACAGACCAAAAUUACAAUUCAAAAUUACAAAAAGAGGACAUACUACCUAAUUCAUUGAUGAUUAAAGUGGGACAUUGUUUAGUCGUAUUCAAUAAUAUAUAGAAGUAGGAUCGGGUGAUGACUUGAAAAAUAGUGAGGAUUGCGAUGACAAAUCUUGGAUGUUUGUUGGUUUAAAUGGGUGGUUGAGAUAAAUCAAAAUUAAUAAAUAAACAAAAAAAAAAUCGUCCAAUGACAUUUUUGUAAAUAAAAUCAAGUUAGGAUCACUUUCCAAUUAAAGGGCAAUGUCUGGGGGUCAUAACUGUCAAAGGAAAUAAUAAAAUUUUGUUGCUGAAAUGAACUCCACGCACAAAAGGUGCGUCGCCAACUCUAUGGAUCUUACUCUUGAACACGUUUCGCCACCAGGAGUUUUGAAAGGUGACCGGGUGCGAAUGGGUUCUGGUUUCAGUUGGAGGUUUACUCUACUACUUGAGAAGGGAUCGACGUAUCCGAGCAGAGGAUCGGGCAUAGCCAGUGUGUCCCAAGGGGUCGACGAAUUGAGCAAGGGGGAUCGGGCAUGACCAAUGUGUCCCAAUGGGUUCGGGUGAUCGGGCUUAUCCAAUGUGCCCCAAUGGCUCGAUGUAUCGAGCAAAGGGGAUCAGACAUAACUAAUGUGUCCUAGUAGGUGUAUGUUGUUAUUGAUUCGCUCUUUGACAUGCAUACGUGUUUGUGUGGUUGAUAUUGUUGUUAUAUGUGUAUUAAGGGUAGAGCUUGUAUGAUAUAGACAUAUAGUAUUGUGUAUGUGUGAAAUCCCCUAAGCUUUGUGCUAUUCCCUUUUCCCUUAAAAAAAUACCAUUUCAGGAUUAACAUGUACUUAGGAUGGCAGGGUGUGAUAGUACACACCGGCUCAGUACGGAUUGAUGAAGUUUUCAUAUUACCUUGGAUUAUGUUUCUUUGAUUUUGGAAUUUAUAAUUAACAAAUGGUUUUUGAAA